AUGAAAAUUAUAAGUUGGAACUGCCGGGGGCUUGGGAACGGCCCGGCAGUUCAUGCACUCCUAGAUCUUGGGAGGAAGGAGGAUCCCAACAUUUUGUUCUUGGCUGAAACUAGGUUGACUGGGGAGGAGAUGGAGUGGCUAAGGUGGAAGCUCGGGCUCGCGAGCAUGGUGGCAUGGAACCCGGAGGGUAGGAGUAGGGGGUGGCGCUGUUCUGUAGGAGAGGGGUGGAUGUGA
rnacentral:rRNA from 1 species